UACGUAGGGGGCUAGCGUUGUCCGGAAUUAUUGGGCGUAAAGCGAACGUAGGCGGCUUCUUAAGUUUGGUCUUAAAGACCGGGGCUCAACCCCGGGAAUGGACUGAAUACUGGGAGGCUGGAGGAUGUCAGAGGAAAGUGGAAUUCCCAGUGUAGCGGUGAAAUGCGUAGAUAUUGGGAGGAACACCAGUGGCGAAAGCGACUUUCUGGGGCAUUCCUGACGCUGAGGUUCGAAAGCUCGGGGAGCAAACAGG
rnacentral:rRNA from 1 species